rnacentral:rRNA from 1 species
UACGUAGGGGGCAAGCGUUGUCCGGAUUUACUGGGCGUAAAGGGCGUGCAGGCGGUUUGCUAAGUCUAGGGUGAAAGCUCCCGGCUCAACUGGGAGAGGUCCUUGGAUACUGACAGACUUGAGGGAGGCAGAGGAGAAUGGAAUUCCCGGUGUAGUGGUGAUAUGCGUAGAUAUCGGGAGGAACACCAGUGGCGAAGGCGGUUCUCUGGGCCUUACCUGACGCUGAGACGCGAAAGCGUGGGGAGCGAACCGG